UGCAUCGGCCGAGAAUCGAACCCGGGCAGCCCGCGUGGCAGGCGAGCAUUCUACCACUGAACCACCGAUGC
rnacentral:tRNA from 1 species